GAAUGUGAGAGUGAUCUGGCUGUAACAUGUAUUACCCCAUUAAUUUCCAGGGUUGAUUCAGUGAUCUGGCUGGUUAGAUGGGUGUCUCCUUCCUCUGUCACCACACCAUGUGCAUCCCUCCAGAAGCUGCACUCUUGCUCAAAGAGACUGACCUUCCCCGCAUACAAGAGGACCAAUAUUUUGUCAAGGGUAUGCAAGUAGCUGUGCUUUCCUGCUAGAAACUCCAAACAAGCUCUCAAAAAGAAGAGCUAAGAAACACGUUAAUUUCAGAACUAGGAAGUAUUGUUGCUCUGGAAUAUUACAAUAACU
ensembl:misc_RNA 7SK 7SK RNA